rnacentral:rRNA from 1 species
AUGAUCCAAUAUGCUGAAAAACACCAAGUGGAAAUUGCAUGGCUGUUUGACUUAGCAUGCCCGGAUGUUGCCAAGAGGCAAGGAUUGUUCAAAGCAACACCAACACAUUUUAUUCUUCAUGACAUGCACAUACAUCUUUCUCUGGAGCGCAUUGCCAACAUGCCUGAUUACCAACGCUACUGUACCACCGUUGCUUCAGUGUGUAGCCUCAUCUCUGAGUACGAUGUGAUCCACACCUAUUGUUUACUUGAUAUUAUUGGUCACAGGUCUUUGUUUGCUGCUUUCUUGGCAUUGCCGUGGGAUCCUGGACAGCAAACAAAUGCUGGUGCCAAAUACCUAGCUAGCAUUGAUAUAACUGCAGCUAUUUGUGUUCGACCUCUCAGUUGUUCAUGGACUUCAGUUGAGUUGAAAGCCUGGUCUCCAUCGUUGUUCCAGGUCAACAUUACAUGUGGCUGA